rnacentral:tRNA from 1 species
GGGGGCUUAGCUCAGCUGGGAGAGCGCUUGCAUGGCAUGCAAGAGGUGACGGAUUCGACUUCCGUAGCUUCCACCA